GUGACGGAGCCCGGCUUCCCUGGGGAUGGCCGAACACCUGCCUGCCCGUGGGAGUGGUGAAUAGAUUCCUUGCUCUGCUUUGCUUGUGUGUGCGGCUUUUGCUUUACCCUUUUCACCCACCUUUCCAUUUUGUUAUUAUUAUUGUUGUUAUUAUUAUUGCUAUUGUUAUUGUUGUUGUUCUUAGCUCUUUAUUCUGUUUAAAUUAUUAAAUUGUUCUUAUCUCGACCCUUGACUUUUACAUUUCUUUUCUGACUCUCCCCCCCAUCCCUCUGAGUGAGGGGGAGUGAGCAACUGACUGCAUGGUGCUGGGUUGCUGGCCAGGGGCUGGGGUUAAACCACGACAGCAUGUCCCUAUGGGGCAACCCCUCCCCAGUGAAAGCUUGCAGGACAGGUUUCUCAAGACAAAAUUUUAUCUAUGGAGAUGCCAAAAAACUCACUUAAAAAUAUCCCCUAUACCCAUAACCAAAUUCUAUUCCAUUUAUGUCCCAUCCUAAAAAAAUAAAUAGCAUUUUUGUAGGUUAACAUCUAAAGAAGAAAUGAAAUAACAAUCACCUAUUUUUGUAGGGUAGAGCAGACAAAGUGGAAGAAAUGAACAAGCAAUGUCUUGUUACUUCAGCUGCUGUAUCCAUCCUUUUGCUUAUGUUUUAUCAUCUUACUCUGCAUCUUAAUCUAGUAUAUGAAGAAGCUGCAAAUGCAAGAAAUUAAGAUCAGUUUUGUCCCAUCUUCAUCUAGGCUGGCUUUUGUCAUUUCUUGUCAGGUCCAAUGAAGUCAGGCUGAGCUUCAUAAUCUUAUCAAAACAACUUUGACUUAGAGAAAUGAUCAUCGGAGGUAAACCAGGAGCUGAUGAGUCACUCAAGCAUCUAAAUGUUGUUCAUUUGAAAAACGAGAAGUGAUGACACAGAGCUGAAGUGGAACAGAACCUGAAAUUGCAGAUCUUCCACAUUGGCCUUCUUCAAGAGAUGAGGCAUGUUUAUUCUCACUUGGAGUCUCAAAAAUAGGACAAUGUCUUUGCAAAAUACUUGAUGUGACUUUUCCACAGUUGAUGGGCAAAAGCUGCUGUGCACUGCAUUCCUUGUUGGCUUAUAUCACAAGAAGAUGGUUAAAUUGGUAGAUCAUGAAUUAGCAAAGCAAAGCUCUUCUACCACUGUCGUAAACUACCUGUGGCAGCACAGGCAAUCCAACAGAUGAGGCCAGUUUGCAAAGCAAGCACCUCUCACUGCUAGAAAUGGUAAUUACAGAAAGGACUUUCAAGGUAAUUUUGUGGGUGCCCUAUUCCCACUGGAUUUCAGCGGGAUUUGGGUGUUUUGUUCUAUUUGGGAACCUGAAGUGAGCGCAUGGGACAAAAUAAGUUGCUGAUGAUGAAUGGUCAGCCUUCUUCCCAUUACAGAGCCAUGCCUGUUGCAUGCUCUUUCGUUAAUGCAACUGUUAAAAAUGGCUGGAAUCCACUACUGUAGUUAGUGUUGAAAAGAAAUAGAGAAGAAAAUAUGGUUUGAAGUAAUUAAAACAAGCAGCAUUAGAAAAAAAUCCAGAUCUGUGUUAGUCUGUCUUAGCAUCACUUGUUUGAAGAGACAAAUAAAAUAUGGUAAAACAUUACUCAUUUAAAUAGCUUUGAAAAAUGUGUUCUGCAUUCUCCUCUGUAUCUUGCACAGAGAUGAACAGAUUAUAACUAAACUUUUACUGAAGGAGAUUACAUUAGACUUCUAGUAUUCUUGUGGUCCGAGUAAAGUAUGUAAAUAAUAAUUGAAAUACUAAACAUUGAAAUGGUAAGGUUUCAUUUUGGAGUUGGAUUUGGUUGCAACUUUUGCCUUCCAGAAUAUGCCCAGAUGGUUAUUCCUUCAAAAAGCAAGGAAGUACCUGAAGGUCCUCACUUGGUACAUGAAGGUACCUGCACUUCGUAGCAGCUCCAGAAAAUUUUUUAUUAAGCUUCAGCCUCCAAACUCAUUUUACAUAUGUACUAAUCUGAAACUGAACUAAUUGACCAGUGCUUCUCCCACAUAACCAGGUGUGCAUGUCUUUCCUGAGAAAUUUGGAAAGCAUACCCAUACCCCACUGAAUAUUCUGUUGAUAUCAAACUGUAACAGAGUAAAAGAGGAUUCCGUCCCUAAACAAAUACAAAA